rnacentral:lncRNA from 10 species
GCCUCCCAAAGUGCUGAGAUUGCAGCCUCUGCCUGGCUGCCACCCCAUCUGGGAAGUGAGGAGCGUCUCUGCCUGGCCGCCCAUCGUCUGGGAUGUGAGGAGCCCCUCUGCCUGGCUGCCCAGUCUGGAAAGUGAGGAGCGUCUCCGCCCGGCUGCCAUCCCAUCUAGGAAGUGAGGAGCGCCUCUUCCCGGCCGCCAUCACAUCUAGGAAGUGAGGAGCGUCUCUGCCCGGCAACCCAUCGUCUGAGAUGUGGGGCGCGCCUCUGCCCCGCUGCCCCAUCUGGGAUGUGAGGAGUGCCUCUGCCCGGCCGCCCUGUCUGAGAGGUCAUACAGUCAGAAGUCCAAAAUCAAGGUGUCCACUGGAUUGGUUCCUUCUGAGGGCCCUGCUGGAGAAACUGAUCCAUGCCUCUCUCCUAGCUUCUGGUGGUUGCUUGCAAUCUUUGGAGUUCCCGGCUUGUAGCUGCGUCACUCCAGUAUCUGCCUCCAUCUUCACAUGGCAUUCUCUUUUGUGCGUAUGUGUCUCCUCUGUGUCCAUCUCCAAAUCUUUACAAGGACAUUGCCAUUCAGGAUUAGGGCCCACUCUAACCUAGGAUGACCUCAUUUUAACUUGAUUACAUAUGUAAAAACCCUACUUCCAAAUACUGUUCAUAGGUACAGAUGUUAGGAUUUCAAAAUAUAUUUUCGAGAGAUGCAAUUCAAACCACAUAAGCCAAUAUAUUUAUUAUGUUUUAAAACAUGCUGUGUCAUAAUUUCUAUUAAUUGCAGCUGAAACUAUUCUAUUCCAGACUCCCUUUCUUACCCUGCCUUCCAAAUUUGGGGCACUGAUCUUUAUAUUCUCUUAGAAAACGGCGUUUGCCAUCAUAGUACUUAAUUAAUUGUGUGCUGGUUAUUUUGAUUUGUGAUUUUUUAUUAGUCUUAGCAUGCAGUUGGAGAAUUCCUUUUACCUAUCCCAAUCACAAUUCUAUCUACAACACUUAGUAGAAAACAUGACUUAUAUACUUCAUGAUAUAUAAGUAUUUUUCUGAAUAAACAAGUUAAAUAAAAUUUAAGAAAUAUUUAAAAGUAGGAAGUGCCUUUAAAUAAUACCACUACCCAUGGGAAAAUACUGUUAAUAUAUAUUGGGCAAAUCCUAGCACUUUUAUGCAAAGUUUUUUAUUCCACAAUUGUCAUAUUAAUUAUAAAAGUGUGUGUCCUUUUUUCACUUUACAUAAUAAAAGAAACUUUUUUAUAUUAUUGCAGGUCUUUACAAGCUUUAAAAAAUUAUGUAAAUUCCAUUGAGUGAUUAUCCAAGAAUACACUUAAAAAUUCUUGAAGGUGGGACAUUUCAUAUAUUCUAAUCUUUUUAAGAGUUUCUUAAAAUUUAUCAUUUCUUAUACAUAAAUAUUGUUCCAAUAUAUGGGAAUAUUUUAUUUGCAUCACUUUAUAACUUGAUUUGAUUAAAUUAAAUUUUAAGGCCCUUGAAGGGAUCAGAAAUUCGGGAAAAAGAGAGGUCUAUUUAACGGACGGGAAAAAUAAAGAAAGUUCCCAUGAUGUUGAAGGAAAACAAGACAUGUUAGGGAGUAAGCAAGACUGCGCAUGGUGAAUGAGAAUCCAAGUUCCCAGAUCAGAGCUGAGUUUCUCACUGUGGAAUGUGAUGUUCAUUGUCGAGACAUUUUCAGAACUCCGUGGAUCUCUGGAUCUUAUCUGACUCAUAAUAAAUCAGAAAGAAAGAAACUCAAGUUUACAAAAUGGAGGUGAAAUGUGCUGUAAUUUUCUCUUCCUCCCAUCCCAUCAGUUAAUGCAUUUACAAUAGCAUACAUAUUUAGCUUGUGAUAUGGUUUGGCUGUGUCCCCACCCAAAUCUCAUCCUGGAUUGUAGUUCCCAUAAUCCCCAUAUCUUGAGAGAGGGACCUGGUGGGAGGUAAUUGCAUCAUGGGGAUGGUUACUCUCGUGCUGUUCUCAUGAUAGUGAGUGAGUUCUCACAAGAUCCAAUGGUUUUAUAAGACGCUCUCCCACAGCCCACCCCCUUCACGCUCUGCACUUCUCCUGAAGAAGGAUGUGUUUGCUUCCCCUUCCACCAUGAUUGUAAGUUUCCUGAGGCCUCCCCAGCCAUGCUGAACUGUGAGUCAAUUAAACCUCUUUCCCUUAUAAAUUACCCAGUCUUGGGUAUGUCCUUAUAGCAGUGGGUGAACAGACUAAUACAGCUUGCUUUUAGGACACAUUCAGAUGUAACCUACAAAUAAGUCAUAAAAAUGCCAUUUUAAAUAUGAGGUCUUUGAUAAAAUAAAUUAAUAGACUGAGCCUUAUUAAAUAACUUAGAGUUAUUAAGUGGACUGAACACAAAGCCACAGAGUUUGGGACUUUUAGAUAGAGUGGAAAACAAAAACAAAAUCCUCAACUGAUAGAAUUGUUUAUUUUAAAUAUGUUGAAAACUUUUAUUUUCAACCAAACUCUUAAGCUCUUCAUCUGCAGACCAGGCGUGCCUGUUAAGCAAUAAUAUAGAGAAAUGAAUUCAGUACCGAGGGUUGGCAAGUGGUUCUAGUUCCAGCUCUUCCUUCCCUGUUUUGUGCUUUGGAACAAAACAUUCUACAGCUUUUCCCACAGAGUUUAGCUCCUACAUUCGCAGACCUAAUAUUGCUUUAGAUGCUUUACCCUUUACCAAUCUUUGAUUUUCAGCAAUGCAUAAUGUAAAGCUAGGCAACUAAUUUAAAUUUGUUAAAUAUUGAUUUUAUCCUGGUAGUAAGGUAAUAAGCCAAAGACACAAAGAGUUAAUUUCAAAAAGCAAACUUCAAUUCAAUUUACCAAAGUAUCCCAAGCUCUUGGCAAUCUGACAAAUGAAAGCUGAAAUUGUUUACAAGAAAAAAAAAUCCAGCAUCCUUGAAAGUUUUUCAUGGUUUAUCUGAGGAAAAAUAUUUUUCUGAAAUCCACAUUUUUCUUCUGUAAUGGAAACAAUUUGGACCCAGCUAUAUAUGACCACGGUGCAUCUGUCAGGAAUAAAAUGUUAUGGAAAAUUUUUGCAAAUAUGUGUUACAAAUAUAGUAGAAAUUAAAAGGCAGCUGGCUUCAUACAAUGGAGAAUAUAAAGAAAAGCAAUGACAUUUGGAUUAUUCAAUAAACUCUCCUACCCAUUCAUACACAGUCUGAGUGAUUUUGCUGUACUGAAUUGAGGUAUUUGAAUGUGAGAUUUUUGUUCUGCCUUUAGGCCAAGGGAAA